AUUCUCCUUCAAGUCCGGAUCGAUCUAGGUCUACUACGACACAAAUCGAUCAUCCAAUCUUCUCUCGCUUAGCGGGAAGGCUGGAAGGCGGCGAGGGCCCGGGGAGUGGCGGGAAGGCGGAGACGGACAGGGGAGCGGUGGCUUUGCGUGCAGCGAAGAAGGGAGAAGCGGCGAGGCCGCGGCAGGAAGGCUGCAGGUCGUCUGCUAGCAUCCCCUACUCCUCUGCCCGCCCCUCCAGCCUGCCCACCGGCGGUGCUCUACUCCUUCGGCCACCCAUCUUCUCCUUCACCGUGUACGACGGCGAGACUAACCUCCGAGGUUUGAUGGAUAAAUAAAGUCGCCGAUCUGAAAAUGUGGAGCCUAGAUGAAGUGAUGAAUUCAUUACUGUUAUUUGCUAUUUUUUUAUGUCCAUGUACUUUAUAAUUUGGACAAGAAGAUUUGUAGGUGUGACUGCCCUAAAGUGUCCGUACUUGAUCUCAAAUACGUUGGUGUUGGUUGUUCUGUUUCCUAAACAUUCUUACACAUGUUACUGUUAAAGAAAAAACAUUCUUACA